rnacentral:rRNA from 1 species
AUUGAACGCUGGCGGCAUGCCUUACACAUGCAAGUCGAACGGCAGCACGGGGGCAACCCUGGUGGCGAGUGGCGAACGGGUGAGUAACAUAUCGGAACAUACCCUAGAGUGGGGGAUAACGUAGCGAAAGUUACGCUAAUACCGCAUACGAUCUAAGGAUGAAAGUGGGGGAUCUUCGGACCUCAUGCUCAUGGAGUGGCCGAUAUCUGAUUAGCUAGUUGGUGAGGUAAAGGCUCACCAAGGCGACGAUCAGUAGCUGGUUUGAGAGAACGACCAGCCACACUGGAACUGAGACACGGUCCAGACUCCUACGGAGGCAGCAGUGGGGAAUAUUGGACAAUGGGCGAAAGCCUGAUCCAGCAAUGCCGCGUGAGUGAUGAAGGCCUUAGGGUUGUAAAGCUCUUUUACCCGGGAUGAUAAUGACAGUACCGGGAGAAUAAGCUCCGGCUAACUCCGUGCCAGCAGCCGCGGUAAU